rnacentral:misc_RNA from 1 species
AACAGCACCAAAUUGAAUUUUUUCGCCAGCAAGCAGCGAGUUAAUUGGACUUGCAGCAAUAGAAAAAGCUUUGUCCUUCGUUAAGAUGGAUGAUGAUGGUAAAAUGGGCUCAGUGACUGCACUACUGUGAGCUCCACCAGAAGCUGCAUGUGCUUCAAACCUAGCAGGGCUCAUAGCCUCUUCAAGUUGGCUCUGUGACAAGGCCAUAACCUGUUGAUUGAUCUGUCCAGUACCCCAAGAGUUAAGAGGUGAUGAUGUAACAUUCUCUGUAUUUUUCUUGCUCUCAAACACCAACCCUGGCUCAAGGUCAUCUCCACCAGCAGAAACACCACCACCUGGGGUGGUUUGGUGCAACUUGGCUGUAUGAAAUUGUUUAUCAGCCUGAGAUCCGUUGCUCCCAGCAGGUGUUCCUAUUGGAGCCAGUGGCUGCGACACCACAGCAGUAAAUCCAGUGGACACAUCCUUAUAAGCAGAUCCUUGCACCUCUGAAGCAAUAAUAUCUGAAUAGUUACUCUUAUUUGAUAUUUCUCCACCCACAGAUGCCAAGAUUUUAUUUGGGCUAGUUAAAAUUGCAGUACUCUGUCUGGUCGUCCUAGGUUUGCGUGGAGGCUUAGAAGCACGGGAUUUCGCCUUGAUUUCUUUUUCUCUUUGUUCUCGCCGAUCAUUCAGCAUUUGCCUCUUAGACCUGACUUCAAUAAAGUCAUCUUCAUCACCGGGUGCUUCUAUGCCAGGCUGUUUAAAAACACGUACAACACCACUUUGCAAUGGAGCAUCAACAUCCUCAACAGAUAUGUUCCUUUUUAGAUAUCCCUCACCGGUGUGCGAAAUAUUCUGAUUUUUGUGCAGUGAUGCCCUUCCGUCAUCCUUGCUUGGCUUGGUACUAGAGUCAACCUCCUGAGAAUCAACAUUUGCUGACUUAGAAUCUAACUCCACAUUUUGCUUCAGUAGCUUACUAGAAAAGGAGCUUCUCUUUGAUCCACUUCUUGCCAGAACCGCUAUGGCAGCUCUUCCACCCUGAUUUAAUUUAUCACCAUGACAAGAGUCAUUAGAAAAACUAGUGCUGGAUGAUUGCCGACUAUCUGAAUUUUCG